rnacentral:rRNA from 1 species
GGACCCGCACAAGUAGUGGAGCAUGUGGUUUAAUUCGAAGAUACGCGCAGAACCUUACCAACACUUGACAUGUUCGUCGCGACUCUAAGAGAUUAGAGUUUUCGGUUCGGCCGGACGAAACACAGGUGCUGCAUGGCUGUCGUCAGCUCGUGUCGUGAGAUGUUGGGUUAAGUCCCGCAACGAGCGCAACCCUCACUUUUAGUUGCCAUCAUUAAGUUGGGCACUCUGAAAGAACUGCCAGUGAUAAGCUGGAGGAAGGUGGGGAUGACGUCAAGUCCUCAUGGCCCUUACGUGUUGGGCUACACACGUGCUACAAUGGUAUCCACAACAGGAAGCAAGACGGUGACGUUAAG